UCGAUGGAAAUGAUCGAGAUCGAAGGAUCGAUCGAUCAAUUUUCCCUGAUCGAGGCGAUCGAAUUGAUCACAGCAGGUUAUCGAGAUCGAGAUCGAGAUCGAAAGGGUCACAUGAUCGAGAUAUUUCUCGAUCAAGACGAAUUUUGCGCCACCUAGAUUCUAGACAUAGCACAUAGUCAAAUCUUUUAAUACUGCAUAAGUAACGAAUUUAACGAUUGUGAGAUGAGUGUGGACGUGGAGCCUUCAACGUCAAAAGAUGAUAGACGUAGGCCUAUGCCUACCAUUGAUUUAACUGAGAGUCAACCUGCACUGGCAGAAAAGAAGAAAUAUGUAGUAUUUGUCCCACCACUAACAAUGUUUCACUUUGUGUAUUUGGUUUACUCUUUCAUACCAAAAUACAAGAGGAAAAAUUCAGACGA